GACAAGGUGGUCGAGAGGAUAAGGCGAUGGACUAUUGAUCCAUUGUGCUUUGGACGCGUGGGUUCGAAUCCCAUCCUCGUAGCG